GGCGCAGUGGGUAGUACGGUACGACUGCCUGCGACGCAGAAGGUUUCCGGGUUCAAUUCCCGGCGGGGUCA